rnacentral:rRNA from 1 species
UGGGGAAUUUUCCGCAAUGGGCGCAAGCCUGACGGAGCAACGCCGCGUGAGGGAGGAAGGCCUGUGGGUUGUAAACCUCUUUUCUCAAGGAAGAAGAACUGACGGUACUUGAGGAAUCAGCAUCGGCUAACUCCGUGCCAGCAGCCGCGGUAAGACGGAGGAUGCAAGCGUUAUCCGGAAUUAUUGGGCGUAAAGCGUCCGUAGGCGGUUCAUCAAGUCUGAUGUUAAAGCCCACAGCUCAACUGUGGAUGGGCAUUGGAAACUGAUGGACUAGAGAGUGGUAGGGGUAGAGGGAAUUCCUAGUGUAGCGGUGAAAUGCGUAGAUAUUAGGAAGAACACCAGUGGCGAAGGCGCUCUACUGGACCAUUACUGACGCUGAUGGACGGAAGCUAGGGGAGCGAAAGGGAUUAGAUACCCCCGUAGUCC